rnacentral:rRNA from 1 species
GUGGGGAAUAUUGGACAAUGGGCGAAAGCCUGAUCCAGCCACGCCGCGUGUGUGAUGAAGGCCUUCGGGUCGUAAAGCACUGUGGGGAGGGAAGAACAGGCAACGGUAACGCGUUGCUCUGACGGUACCUCCUUAGCAAGCACCGGCUAACUCCGUGCCAGCAGCCGCGGUAAUACGGAGGGUGCAAACGUUGCUCGGAAUCAUUGGGCGUAAAGCGCGUGUAGGCGGCUUGUUAAGUCGGGUGUGAAAGCCCUGGGCUCAACCCAGGAAGUGCGCCCGAAACUGGCGAGCUAGAGUACGGGAGAGGGUAGUGGAAUUCCCGGUGUAGAGGUGAAAUUCGUAGAUAUCGGGAGGAACACCAGUGGCGAAGGCGGCUACCUGGACCGAUACUGACGCUGAGACGCGAAAGCGUGGGUAGCAAACAGGAUUAGAAACCCUAGUAGUCC